rnacentral:rRNA from 1 species
ACGUUAGCGGCGGACGGGUGAGUAACACGUGGAUAACCUACCUAUAAGACUGGGAUAACUUCGGGAAACCGGAGCUAAUACCGGAUAAUAUAUUGAACCGCAUGGUUCAAUAGUGAAAGACGGUUUUGCUGUCACUUAUAGAUGGAUCCGCGCCGCAUUAGCUAGUUGGUAAGGUAACGGCUUACCAAGGCAACGAUGCGUAGCCGACCUGAGAGGG